rnacentral:rRNA from 1 species
CCUACGGGAGGCAGCAGUGAGGAAUAUUGGUCAAUGGCCGGAAGGCUGAACCAGCCAAGUCGCGUGAAGGAAGAAGGAUCGAUGGUUUGUAAACUGCGUGUAUAGGGGAAUAAAGGGAUCCACGUGUGGAUAUUUGCAUGUACCCUAUGAAUAAGCAUCGGCUAACUCCGUGCCAGCAGCCGCGGUAAUACGGAGGAUGCGAGCGUUAUCCGGAUUUAUUGGGGUUACAGGGUGCGUAGGUUGUUUUUUAAGGCAUCGGUGAAAGUUUGUGGCUCAACCCGAAAAUUGCCGUUGAUACUGGCAGCCUUGAGUUUGUUUGAGGUAGGCGGAUUGC